GGGAAGAGCCCAAACCAACAAGCUUGCUUGUUGGGGUUGUAGGACACUCUAUACGGAGUUACAAAGGACGACAUUAGACGAAUCAUCUGGAAAGAUGAAUCAAAGAAGGUAAUAAUCCUGUAGUCGAAAAUGUUGUCUCUCUUGAGUGGAUCCUGAGUACGACGGAGCACGUGAAAUUCCGUCGGAAUCUGGGAGGACCAUCUCCUAAGGCUAAAUACUCUCUAGUGACCGAUAGUGAACCAGUACCGUGAGGGAAAGGUGAAAAGCACCCCGGAAGGGGAGUGAAAUAGAACCUGAAACCGUGUGCUUACAAGUAGUCAGAGCCCGUUAAUGGGUGAUGGCGUGCCUUUUGUAGAAUGAACCGGCGAGUUACGAUUUGAUGCAAGGUUAAGCAGUAAAUGUGGAGCCGUAGCGAAAGCGAGUCUGAAUAGGGCGUUUAGUAUUUGGUCGUAGACCCGAAACCAGGUGAUCUACCCUUGGUCAGGUUGAAGUUCAGGUAACACUGAAUGGAGGACCGAACCGACUUACGUUGAAAAGUGAGCGGAUGAACUGAGGGUAGCGGAGAAAUUCCAAUCGAACCUGGAGAUAGCUGGUUCUCUCCGAAAUAGCUUUAGGGCUAGCCUCAAGUGAUGAUUAUUGGAGGUAGAGCACUGUUUGGACGAGGGGCCCCUCUCGGGUUACCGAAUUCAGACAAACUCCGAAUGCCAAUUAAUUUAACUUGGGAGUCAGAACAUGGGUGAUAAGGUCCGUGUUCGAAAGGGAAACAGCCCAGACCACCAGCUAAGGUCCCAAAAUAUAUGUUAAGUGGAAAAGGAUGUGGCGUUGCCCAGACAACUAGGAUGUUGGCUUAGAAGCAGCCAUCAUUUAAAGAGUGCGUAAUAGCUCACUAGUCGAGUGACACUGCGCCGAAAAUGUACCGGGGCUAAACAUAUUACCGAAGCUGUGGAUUGUCCUUUGGACAAUGGUAGGAGAGCGUUCUAAGGGCGUUGAAGCAUGAUCGUAAGGACAUGUGGAGCGCUUAGAAGUGAGAAUGCCGGUGUGA
rnacentral:rRNA from 1 species